GAGCACAAUUUAAAUCCUUUAACGAGGAUCUAUUGGAGGGCAAGUCUGGUGCCAGCAGCCGCGGUAAUUCCAGCUCCAAUAGCGUAUAUUAAAGUUGUUGCAGUUAAAAAGCUCGUAGUUGGAUCUCGGGUCCAGGCUUGCGGUCCACCUCGCGGUGGCUACUGCUCGUCCUGACCUACCUCCCGGUUUUCCCUUGGUGCUCUUAGCUGAGUGUCUCGGGUGGCCGGAACGUUUACUUUGAAAAAAUUAGAGUGUUCAAAGCAGGCAUUUCGCCUGAAUAAUGGUGCAUGGAAUAAUGGAAUAGGACCUCGGUUCUAUUUUGUUGGUUUUCGGAACUUGAGGUAAUGAUUAAGAGGGACAGACGGGGGCAUUCGUAUUACGGUGUUAGAGGUGAAAUUCUUGGAUCGCCGUAAGACGAACUACUGCGAAAGCAUUUGCCAAGAAUGUUUUCAUUAAUCAAGAGCGAAAGUCAGCGGUUCGAAGACGAUCAGAUACCGUCGUAGUUCUGACCAUAAACGAUGCCAACUAGCGAUCCGCCGGAGUUGCUUCAAUGACUCGGCGGGCAGCUUCCGGGAAACCAAAGUCUGGUUCCGGGGGAAGUAUGGUUGCAAAGCUGAAACUUAAAGGAAUUGACGGAAGGGCA
rnacentral:rRNA from 1 species